CACUCUUUUAUGGCACCAUGAUUGUGUUUUACCCUCCCGACUGUUAACUGCCAACUGUUAACUGUUAACUGCCCAAGGUUGCCCUGCUGAUGUCAUGCCUGACCAUAUGACUUGCUCCAGCCAAUGAAAUGUAAGCAGAAGUGACAUAUGCAGCAUGACCAGUGGAAGCUUCGAAGAGCUAUUGCCAAUUUCCACCCUCUCUCUGGAAACUGUCAUUAGGGUUAGGGAAACUGUCAUGAGAUCUGCAUAUUUUAGAUAGAGGCUGCUUGCCUUAUUUGGGCACCUAAUGAAAAAGACAUGGAGGCCAGGUGCGGUGGCUCAUGUCUGUAAUCCCAGCACUUUGGGAGGCCAAGGCGAGUGGAUCACCUGAGGUCAGGAGUUCGAGACCAGCCUGACCAACAUGGCAAAACCCCGUCUGUACUAAAAGUGCAAACACAAAGGGAACUGCGUGGCUUGUUUCUACCUGAACAUUGUCAAGUGAUUUCAUCCUUUGAAACACAGUUGUGAAGUGUGUCCAGCAGUCUGAGAACAAGAAGAAGAAGAAAAUCUAAUCCUUCAGGGUGUCUGUGUGCCAGCCCUGCUCUCAGCACUUCCCAUGUGGAACUCCUUUACUUCUCCUAACAACUCCAUGACAUGGGUUAGACUGUGAUUGUUCCCAUAUUGUUGGUAGGGAAACUGAGGCAUGCAGGUGUUACAGAGCUCUCUCAAGUGGCAAGCUUUCUGGGUGGUUACAGAGUGGCAGAGCUGGGGUAUCCCAUGAUGUCACCACACUGCUAUAUGGAAAAGAACAUUAAUCGAGCACCUACGUGCUUGAUUCUCUUAAUUCUGUGACUGAACUCUCAAAACACCCUGGGUAAGCACUAUCAUCUCCUAUUUUCACAAGUGAAAAAACUGGGAUUCAAAAAAAUUAAGUGACUUACCAAAUAUUACAGAGCUAGUAAGCCAAGACUUGAACACUGAGAUGGAAUUCUACCUUUUAAGGUGGCUAAGCAACAGAAGGAUGUUCCUUUCCCAAGGGGGUAAGAAGCAGUGGCCAUGUUCAGCACAAUUGUCCUAUCACAGGUUCAUGGCAGGGACCGAGCAGUGAGGAUGGGCACUGCCCUGUGUCCUAGCAGAGGGCUGCCUUCUGGCUCCCCAGCCUUGGCCAGCAGCCCUUCUAUCUUCAUGCCAUGACCUAUUUUUGUUCACCCAGUUAGUGUAUGGCCUAUUUCUUUCCUUAAGAAUUACUUCAUAACUUUCACAGAGUAAUAGCACAUGCUGAGCACAGCAUUCAUGAACUUGGACACACGCACACAAAAUGUCCCUUUAAAUUCACAGAGCAGUAUCUGAGAUCCAGGUAGAAAGACCAAAAGGAAAAUUAAGAACAGACUCUCAGACCUGCCUUCCCUUUGCAUUCAGAGCACUGCGUGUUUUGAAAUAUACAAAUAGUGGGAAACGAAAUCUUUGUUCUGGAUGCAGUUAUAAUUUGGAAAGCGAGGAAAUAAAUUAUAACAAGGGGAAAAAACAGACACAGAGGGAUUGAAAUGCAUAACAAUAGAGAUGAAACACGAAGAGUGAUAAAUGAAGAUUGAGUGUGCACACCUUCUGGAGGAGCCCUGAUUGAGUAUUUUAAAAUACUACUAAAGUCAUGCCGUGUGACUUCUGAAGCUAGCUCCUAAGAAGUCCUUGCAGCUUCUGCCUGCGACUCUUAGAACACUUGCUUUGAAGGAUGCCAGAUGCUGUCUUAAAAGUCUGAGCACUCUGAAACCAUCAUGCUGUGAGGAAGCCCAAGCUAACCACAUGGGCAAAAAAGAUGCCCUCUGACUGCCACCAUUUGAGACACUCUAAUUAAGAACUGCCUCAUUGAGCCCAUGAGGCCCUGUGAAUGAUAAUAAUAAAUUGUUUUUAACCACUA
ensembl:lncRNA LINC00964 long intergenic non-protein coding RNA 964